rnacentral:tRNA from 2 species
UGGCAGACAGUCCAGUGGAGUGGACGUGCCGCUCACAUCGGCGAGAUCGCAGGUUCAAAUCCUGCUCUGCCAA